rnacentral:rRNA from 1 species
GUGGGGAAUCUUAGACAAUGGGGGAAACCCUGAUCUAGCCAUGCCGCGUGAGCGAUGAAGGCCUUAGGGUUGUAAAGCUCUUUCAGCUGGGAAGAUAAUGACGGUACCAGCAGAAGAAGCCCCGGCUAACUCCGUGCCAGCAGCCGCGGUAAUACGGAGGGGGCUAGCGUUGUUCGGAAUUACUGGGCGUAAAGCGCGCGUAGGCGGACCAGAAAGUUGGAGGUGAAAUCCCAGGGCUCAACCUUGGAACUGCCUUCAAAACUCCUGGUCUGGAGUUCGAGAGAGGUGAGUGGAAUUCCGAGUGUAGAGGUGAAAGUCGUAGAUAUUCGGAGGAACACCAGUGGCGAAGGCGGCUCACUGGCUCGAUACUGACGCUGAGGUGCGAAAGCGUGGGGAGCAAACAGGAUUAGAUACCCCUGUAGUCC